UAGGUAUGUUGAUUAGAGGCAGCUGCCGG
rnacentral:sRNA from 1 species